rnacentral:rRNA from 1 species
CGUGGGUAACCUGCCCAAGAGACUGGGAUAACACUGGAAACAGAUGCUAAUACCGGAUAACAACACUAGACGCAUGUCUAGAGUUUAAAAGAUGGUUCUGCUAUCACUCUUGGAUGGACCUGCGGUGCAUUAGCUAGUUGGUAAGGUAACGGCUUACCAAGGCAAUGAUGCAUAGCCGAGUUGAGAGACUGAUCGGCCACAUUGGGACUGAGACACGGCCCAAACUCCUACGGAAGGCAGCAG